UCUCCUGUGACGCAGUGGUUAGCGUGUCGUUCUUAUACUGUGACAUUACAUGUCAUCAGCAUGACCUUGUUAAGGGAUGCGAAGGUCGCCGGUUCGACCCCGGCCAGGAGAA